GUGGACGUAGCUCAGCAGGUUAGAGCACCAGAUUGUGGUUCUGGGGGUCGUGGGUUCGAGCCCCAUCUUCCACCCCA
rnacentral:tRNA from 1 species